AAGGCUAAAUACUCCUGACUGACCGAUAGUGAACCAGUACCGUGAGGGAAAGGCGAAAAGAACCCCGGCGAGGGGAGUGAAACAGAACCUGAAACCGUGUACGUACAAGCAGUGGGAGCCCCACCACCAAAGCGUUUCGCUUUGCGUGGUGCGCAAAAUGCGUAACGACAGCACGAUUGCGGUUAACGGAGCGUAAGCGACGUUCAACACAAAAAUCAGGCAGUGGAGCGUUUUGGGGUGGGGUGACUGCGUACCUUUUGUAUAAUGGGUCAGCGACUUAUAUUCUGUAGCAAGGUUAACCGCAUAGGGGAGCCGGAGGGAAACCGAGUCUUAAUUGGGCGUUAAGUUGCAGGGUAUAGACCCGAAACCCGGUGAUCUAGCCAUGGGCAGGUUGAAGGUUGGGUAACACUAACUGGAGGACCGAACCGACUAAUGUUGAAAAAUUAGCGGAUGACCUGUGGCUGGGGGUGAAAGGCCAAUCAAACCGGGAGAUAGCUGGUUCUCCCCGAAAGCUAUUUAGGUAGCGCCUCGUGAAUUCAUCUCCGGGGGUAGAGCACUGUUUCGGCCAGGGGGCCAUCCCGGCUUACCAAUCCGAUGCAAACUGCGAAUACCGGAGAAUGUUAUCACGGGAGACACACGGCGGGUGCUAACGUCCGUCGUGAAGAGGGAAACAACCCAGACCGCCAGCUAAGGUCCCAAAGUCAUGGUUAAGUGGGAAACGAUGUGGGAAGGCCCAGACAGCCAGGAUGUUGGCUUAGAAGCAGCCAUCAUUUAAAGAAAGCGUAAUAGCUCACUGGUCGAGUCGGCCUGCGCGGAAGAUGUAACGGGGCUAAACCAUGCACCGAAGCUGCGGCAGCGACACUGAUGUGUUGUUGGGUAGGGGAGCGUUCUGUAAGCCGUUGAAGGUGGCCUGUGAGGGUUGCUGGAGGUAUCAGAAGUGCGAAUGCUGACAUAAGUAACGAUAAAGCGGGUGAAAAGCCCGCUCGCCGGAAGACCAA
rnacentral:rRNA from 1 species